UACGUAGGUGGCAAGCGUUGUCCGGAUUUACUGGGCGUAAAGCGCGUGUAGGUGGUUUGGAAAGUCCGGGGUGAAAUCUUGCGGCUCAACUGCAAGAGGUCCUUGGAUACUUCCAGACUUGAGGGAGGCAGAGGAAGGUGGAAUUCCCGGUGUAGUGGUGAAAUGCGUAGAUAUCGGGAGGAACACCAGUGGCGAAGGCGGCCUUCUGGGCCUUUCCUGACGCUGAGGCGCGAAAGCGUGGGUAGCAAACCGGAUUAGAAACCCCCGUAGUCC
rnacentral:rRNA from 1 species